rnacentral:misc_RNA from 1 species
CUAGCAAGACUCAAGUCAAAAACCACUUUGUCAAUGCACUUUGACUUCUCCAAAGCAUCAAAUAAAAUCUCCAAGUCAUCCAAUGCACGUUUAGAAGAAGUGUUUUCCAAAAACUUGCUUCCCUCCUGUUUAAGCUUUGAUAAUAAUUCCUUAGCUUGUCCUCUUUCCUUCACAAAAGUGCCAAUUCUGUCUGCUGUCUCAACAUUUAAUCCCUUCUCCUCAACCAUUUCUUUUUUAACUUGCUCAAAGGAUUGCUUGUCUAGUUUGUCAAUGCUUGAACAAAUAGUACGAAACUUUUCAGGUGGCACUCCACAAAUUUCUAGCAUACCAUCCAACAACUUCCGAUGAUUCAAUUUAACCUCAUAAUCUCCAAUGUCUAGCUCAUCAAGCAAUUCUGUCAAAAUCUUAACAAUCUCAAAAUCUGGUCCCAUUUCUUCAUAUUGGCCAGCAAUAUCAAAGUCACAUUGAUAAAAUUCACGGUAUCUUCCUUUAGAUGGGUUAUCUCUUCUGUACACCUUGGCUAUUUGAUACCGUUUAAAGGAUGUGAUACCAUUCAUAGCCACAUACCUAGCAAAUGG